rnacentral:rRNA from 1 species
GAUGAACGCUGGCGGCGUGCCUAAUACAUGCAAGUCGAGCGGUAAGGCCCCUUCGGGGGUACACGAGCGGCGGACGGCUGAGUAACACGUAGGAACGUACCCCAAAGUGAGGGAUAAGCACCAGAAAUGGUGUCUAAUACCGCAUGUGAUCUUCGGAUUAAAGCUUCGGCGCUUUGGGAACGGCCUGCGUCCGAUUAGCUAGUUGGUAGUGUAAAAGACUACCAAGGCGACGAUCGGUAGCUGGUCUGAGAGGAUGAUCAGCCAGACUGGGACUGAGACACGGCCCAGACUCCUACGGGAGGCAGCAGUAGGGAAUUUUCCACAAUGGGCGAAAGCCUGAUGGAGCAACGCCGCGUGCAGGAUGAAUGCCUUCGGGUUGUAAACUGCUUUUAUGUGUGACGAUUAUGACGGUAACACAUGAAUAAGGACCUGCUAACUACGUGCCAGCCGCCGCGGUAAUAC